GGCGGCGUGGAUAAGACAUGCAAGUCGAACGGGAGAAUUGCUAGCUUGCUAAUAAUUCUCUAGUGGCGCACGGGUGAGUAACACGUGAGUAACCUGCCUCUUAGUGGGGGAUAGCCCUGGGAAACCGGGAUUAAUACCGCAUACGAUUGAAAGAUCAAAGCAGCAAUGCGCUAGGAGAUGGGCUCGCGGCCUAUUAGUUAGUUGGUGAGGUAACGGCUCACCAAGGCGAUGACGGGUAGCCGGUCUGAGAGGAUGUCCGGCCACACUGGAACUGAGACACGGUCCAGACACCUACGGGUGGCAGCAGUCGAGAAUCAUUCACAAUGGGGGCAACCCUGAUGGUGCGACGCCGCGUGGGGGAAUGAAGGUCUUCGGAUUGUAAACCCCUGUCAUGUGGGAGCAAAUUAAAAAGAUAGUACCACAAGAGGAAGAGACGGCUAACUCUGUGCCAGCAGCUGCGGUAAUACAGAGGUCUCAAGCGUUGUUCGGAAUCACUGGGCGUAAAGCGUGCGUAGGCUGUUUCGUAAGUCGUGUGUGAAAGGCAGGGGCUCAACCCCUGGAUUGCACAUGAUACUGCGAGACUAGAGUAAUGGAGGGGGAACCGGAAUUCUCGGUGUAGCAGUGAAAUGCGUAGAUAUCGAGAGGAACACUCGUGGCGAAGGCGGGUUCCUGGACAUUAACUGACGCUGAGGCACGAAGGCCAGGGGAGCGAAAGGGAUUAGAUACCCCUGUAGUCCUGGCAGUAAACGGUGCACGCUUGGUGUGAGGGGAAUCGACCCCCUGCGUGCCGGAGCUAACGCGUUAAGCGUGCCGCCUGGGGAGUACGGUCGCAAGAUUAAAACUCAAAGAAAUUGACGGGGACCCGCACAAGCGGUGGAGUAUGUGGCUUAAUUCGAUGCAACGCGAAGAACCUUACCUGGGCUUGACAUGUAAUGAACAACAUGUGAAAGCAUGCGACUCUUCGGAGGCGUUACACAGGUGCUGCAUGGCCGUCGUCAGCUCGUGUCGUGAGAUGUUUGGUUAAGUCCAGCAACGAGCGCAACCCCUGUUGCCAGUUACCAGCACGUCAAGGUGGGGACUCUGGCGAGACUGCCCAGAUCAACUGGGAGGAAGGUGGGGACGACGUCAGGUCAGUAUGGCCCUUAUGCCCAGGGCUGCGCACGUACUACAAUGCCCAGUACAGAGGGGGCCGAAGCCGCGAGGCGGAGGAAAUCCUGAAAACUGGGCCCAGUUCGGACUGUAGGCUGCAACCCGCCUACACGAAGCCGGAAUCGCUAGUAAUGGCGCAUCAGCUACGGCGCCGUGAAUACGUUCCCGGGUCUUGUACACACCGCCCGUCACAUCAUGGAAGCCGGUCGCACCCGAAGUAUCUGAAGCCAACCGCAAGGAGGCAGGGUCCUAAGGUGAGACUGGUAACUGGGAUGAAGUC
rnacentral:rRNA from 1 species